AGCCAGACUCCUACGGGAGGCAGCAGUGGGGAAUAUUGCACAAUGGGGGAAACCCUGAUGCAGCGACGCCGCGUGAGUGAAGAAGUAAUUCGUUAUGUAAAGCUCUCUCAGCAGGGAAGAAAAUGACGGUACCUGAGUAAGAAGCCCCGGCUAACUACGUGCCAGCAGCCGCGGUAAUACGUAGGGGGCAAGCGUUAUCCGGAUUUAUUGGGUUUAAAGGGUGCGUAGGCGGUCUGUUAAGUCAGCGGUAAAAUUGCGGGGCUCAACCCCGUCGAGCCGUUGAAACUGGCAGACUUGAGUUGGCGAGAAGUACGCGGAAUGCGCGGUGUAGCGGUGAAAUGCAUAGAUAUCGCGCAGAACUCCGAUUGCGAAGGCAGCAUGCCGGCUCCACACUGACGCUGAGGCACGAAAGCGUGGGUAUCGAACAGGAUUAGAUACCCGCGUACA
rnacentral:rRNA from 1 species